CACAGACAACCAGGAUGUUGGCUUAGAAGCAGCCACUCAUUCAAAGAGUGCGUAAUAGCUCACUGGUCGAGUGAUCCUGCGCCGAAGAUUUCCGGGGCUAAAACUUACUACCGAAGCUACGGCAUCAGUAAUGAUGGGUAGGGGAGCUUCCCAUACGGGUUGAAGCAUGACCGUAAGGACAUGUGGACAGUAUGGGAGUGAGAAUGUUGGCAUGAGUAGCGAGAUGUGGGUGUGAAUGCCACAGGUCGUAAACCCAAGGUUGCCAGGGGGAGGUUCGGCCGUCAUGGGUUAGGCGGGACCGACGGUGGUGCCGAAGGGCAUGAGUGAUGGACAACAGGUCGAUAUUCCUGUACUACUGGUAAGCGUAUGAGAGAAGGGAGGACACCGUAGGAUGAGCUAAGCACACUGUGGGUUAUGUGUGCCCAAGCAUUGAGGCAGUCAAAGUAGGCAAAUCCGCUUUGAUAAUGCUGGGAUGUGAUGGGGAGCGAAAUUUAGUAGCGAA
rnacentral:rRNA from 1 species